CCUACGGGAGGCAGCAGUGGGGAAUAUUGGACAAUGGGCGGAAGCCUGAUCCAGCCAUGCCGCGUGUGUGAAGAAGGCCCUUUGGUUGUAAAGCACUUUAAGCGAGGAGGAGGCUACUUAGAUUAAUACUCUGAGAUAGUGGACGUUACUCGCAGAAUAAGCACCGGCUAACUCUGUGCCAGCAGCCGCGGUAAU
rnacentral:rRNA from 1 species